UACGAAGGGUGCAAGCGUUAGUCGGAAUUACUGGGCGUAAAGCGUGCGUAGGUGGUCUCUUAAGUCCGUUGUGAAAGCCCUGGGCUCAACCUGGGAACUGCAGUGGAUACUGAGAAGCUAGAGUGUGUCAGAGGAUGGUGGAAUUCCCGGCGUAGCGGUGAAAUGCGUAGAGAUCGGGAGGAACAUCAGUGGCGAAGGCGGCCAUCUGGGACAACACUGACGCUGAUUGUGCGAAAGCUAGGGGAGCGAACGGG
rnacentral:rRNA from 1 species